AUACGGAGGGUGCAAGCGUUACUCGGAAUCACUGGGCGUAAAGCGCGCGCAGGCGGCUAUUUAAGUUGGAUGUGAAAGCCUACGGCUCAACCGUAGAACUGCAUCCAAAACUAUUUAGCUAGAGUGUGGGAGAGGAAGAUGGAAUUAGUUGUGUAGGAGUAAAAUCCGUAGAGAUAACUAGGAAUACCAAAAGCGAAGGCAAUCUUCUGGAACAGUACUGCCGCUGAGGCGCGAAAGCGUGGGGAGCAAACAGGAUUAGAAACCCUUGUAGUCC
rnacentral:rRNA from 1 species